UACUGGAUAUGACCUUCUGGCGCAUGCCAUGUUGGUGGAAAGCUUUAUUGCGGUUUUGGAUGGACUCGCGGCCUAUCAGCUUGUUGGUGGGGUAAUGGCCUACCAAGGCGACGACGGGUAGCCGGCCUGAGAGGGUGGACGGCCACACUGGGACUGAGACACGGCCCAGACUCCUACGGGAGGCAGCAGUGGGGAAUAUUGCACAAUGGGCGCAAGCCUGAUGCAGCGACGCCGCGUGGGGGAUGAAGGCCUUCGGGUUGUAAACCUCUUUCAGUAGGGAAGAAGCGAAAGUGACGGUACCUGCAGAAGAAGCGCCGGCUAACUACGUGCCAGCAGCCGCGGUAAUACGUAGGGCGCAAGCGUUAUCCGGAAUUAUUGGGCGUAAAGAGCUCGUAGGCGGUUUGUCGCGUCUGCCGUGAAAGUCCGGGGCUUAACUCCGGAUCUGCGGUGGGUACGGGCAGACUAGAGUGAUGUAGGGGAGACUGGAAUUCCUGGUGUAGCGGUGAAAUGCGCAGAUAUCAGGAGGAACACCGAUGGCGAAGGCAGGUCUCUGGGCAUUAACUGACGCUGAGGAGCGAAAGCAUGGGGAGCGAACAGGAUUAGAUACCCUGGUAGUCCAUGCCGUAAACGUUGGGCACUAGGUGUGGGGGACAUUCCACGUUUUCCGCGCCGUAGCUAACGCAUUAAGUGCCCCGCCUGGGGAGUACGGCCGCAAGGCU
rnacentral:rRNA from 1 species